rnacentral:rRNA from 1 species
CGUGUAGGCGGUUUUGUAAGUUAGGCGUGAAAUCCUAUGGCUUAACCAUAGAUCUGCGUCUAAUACUAUAAGGCUAGAGUACUGGAGAGGGAAGUGGAAUUCCUAGUGUAGCGGUGAAAUGCGUAGAUAUUAGGAGGAACACCGGUGGCGAAGGCGGCUUCCUGGACAGAUACUGACGCUGAGACGCGAAAGCCAGGGGAGCAAACG